AUGGACGCGUACGAGGCGACGAAGGUGGUGUUCGCGCGGAUCCAGGGGCUGGACCCGGACCACGCGGCCAAGAUCAUGGGGCUGCUGCUCAUCCAGGACCACGGCGAGAAGGAGAUGAUACGCCUCGCCUUCGGCCCGGAGGCGCUGCUGCUCGCCGUCAUGGCCAAGGCGCGCAAGGACCUCGGCCUGCUCCCGGCCUCGGCCUCGGGCCCCGCCACGCCCACCUCCGCCGGCCACUCCUCGCCCUUCAUGCUCUCGCGCCAGAACUCGGGGCGUGGCGGCUGCGGCGGGGGCACGGCGCCCUCGCCGCUCUCGGUCUCCUCGCCCUCGUCCUGGGCCCCGCCGCCGGUGUUCUCCAGGAGCAACAGCGUCAGCAAUGGCAGCGCCGCGGAGGAGAUGGCGGGCGUCGGGGAGGAGCAGCUGAUGAGCCCGGCCAACGGCGGGGGCGGGGGCCCGCAGUCGCCCUUCUUCGGCGGGGAGUCGCUGAUCCUCGACGAGCUCCACCUGCAGGACCAGCUCGCGUUCCUCAGCGAGGGAGGCAUGGGCGGCGGGGGAGGGCGUCAGCAGCUCCCGCUCUUCGACAACGGCGAGUGCCGCAGCCCCAGCGGCGGCGGCGGCGGCGGGCUCUUCCCGUACGGCGCCGCGUGGGCCAACGGCGGGUCCGGGCACCGCAGGAGCGCGUCGGUGAGCGAGCUCUGCUUCGGGGGCGGCGACGGCCUCGGCUGGAAGCCCUGCCUCUACUACGCGCGCGGGUACUGCAAAAACGGGAGCGCCUGCCGGUUCGUGCACGGCGGCCUCCCCGACGACCUCGCCGGCGCCAAGAUGGACCAGGCCUCCGUGGAGCAGCAGUGCCAGGACUUCCUCCUCCGCUCCAAGUCCCAGCGCCUGGCCGCCGCCGCCGGCUUCGCCUACUCCCCCACCGGCUCCCUCCCUGGCUCCCCCUCCGCGGCGAGCAAGUGCCUCAGCUUGCUCCUGCAGCAGCAGCAGCAGCAAAACGACGGCCAAAGGGCGGCGGCCGCGGCGGCCGCGGCGGCGCUGAUGCUGGGCGGCGACGAGGCGCACAAGUUCAUGAACCGCCCCCGCCUCGACCGCGGCGACUUCGCGAGCAUGAUGAACCCGGGGUCCCGGCAGAUUUACCUCACCUUCCCGGCGGACAGCACCUUCCGCGAGGAGGACGUCUCCAACUACUUCAGCAUCUACGGCCCAGUCCACGACGUGCGCAUCCCCUACCAGCAGAAGCGCAUGUUCGGGUUCGUCACCUUCGUCUACCCGGAGACGGUGAAGCUGAUCCUGGCCAAGGGCAACCCGCACUUCAUCUGCGACGCGCGCGUGCUCGUCAAGCCCUACAAGGAGAAGGGCAAGGUUCCCGACAAGUUCAGGAAGCAGCAGGGCGAGAGGGUGGACUUCUCCGGCUGCGGGUCUCCCACCGGGCUGGACGCCAGAGACCCCUUCGAUCUGCACCAGAUUGUUGGUGCGAGGAUGCUGCAGCACUCCAACAGCGCCAACGAGAUGCUGCUGAGGAGGAAGCUGGAGGAGCAGCAGCAGGCGGUGGAGCUGCAGCAGGCGAUCGAGCUCCAGAGCAGGCGCCUCAUGGGGCUGCAGCUGCUGGACCUCAAGACCCGCUCCGCCGCCGCCGCCGCGCCGACCCCCAUCGGGAAGCCGUUCAGCCCCACCCACACUUCUGCCGCCACGCCGACCCUCGAUUCGCCGCCCGAUUCCGGGGAGCAAGGCAAUGGCUGCGGCUUCCUUUUCCCUCACAAGAAUGCGGUCAACGGAGCUGAUAAGGAUGAAACCUCAGGCGAUUCCACCACCAGCCCUAACACUGACAGCGACCAAAGCGCGGAGCAUAACCUGCCGGACAGCCCGUUCGCGUCGCCGACCAAGUCGGGGGCCUUCGCCCGUGAUCCUUUCGCGCCCACCGAGUCGGAGAUCGCCGCCGCCGCAGCCUCGACCGGUUGCAACGCGGCCUACAACGGCGGUAUCAACGGCAAUGGUGCCAGGAACGGCGGCGGCAUUAACCACCAUCUCCUACCUCCAGCAUUGGACAUACCCUCACCAAAACCUUACUUCUUCCCCAUGUCCAGGUGCUGUCCUCCGAUCACGGCGCGGUCGGGAUGUAAAGUAGCGCUGAAUGGAAGUGAGUGA
rnacentral:rRNA from 1 species